UAUUUCAACAUAUCACUUGCACACAUACUACGAAAGUAAAAAAACACAUCAACAACUAGCAGUAGUAUGAUUAAUUAUUGUACUUGUUGAUGUGUAUAUGUUUGUAGGUGUGUGUGUGUGUGUGUGUGUGUGAAAGUAGGGCAGUAGAUAAACGGCAAAACCAGCUAGGUGGCCAUUGUAUGUCAGCUAGAGCACGUGAGUCACCUUGAUGAGUGCCAAGUAGGCCACUUUUGGUAAGCGGAAAUGACAUUGUGGGAUGAACCAAACGUGCGCUUAAGGCGCCUAAUGCAACGCUCAUGAGAUAUCACAAAAGGUGCUGGUUGGUUCAUAUAGCAGGACAGUGGCCAUGAAAUUCGGAAACCGGUAAGGAGUGUGUAACAACUCACUUAUCUGCUGAAUCAACCAGCCCUGGAAAUCGAUAGCGCUCGAGCGUUCCACCUAUACCGUACCGUUGCUGCAGGCUGGCCGUAAGCAGAAUGAG
rnacentral:ncRNA from 1 species